UAAAUGUGAUCUUUUAAGUGAUUUGUAUAAACGAGUUAAUCGCGAUUAAGUCAAAAGGGAAAACGAGUUCAGAUGUAAUCGGUUUUUUGGCCGUUUCGCCUCAGACUCGUUUUUUGGCCGUUUCGUCUCAAGGCGCGCCUUGAGGCGCACGCCUCAAGCGUUUUUUAAAAUCAUGAAGAAAGCAUAUAGUCACACCCAAAUUUAUGUUUCAUACCUUUUGUCUUAUUAAUAGCGUUUACGCAGGACUUGAUGUUGAUGACUGGCCCUGUACUUUCAGUUUGUGGUGCAUGAACCCAGCCCUCGUGUUCAAGAACAUGUCUGAUGGUGUUCUUUCAGAAAUUUUAACAUCCGGGUUUACCAAGACGAUGGGAUUUAUCACACAAUCGACAUGUAUCUUAAGGAACACCCCUGGAUGGGAAAGAGCAUAAAGAAACGAGUAUGCAGACUAAUGGAUUGCAGAAAAUUGUCACCGGAUGCUUGCAAGCACACGGUUCAAAACGAGCGGCUCCCUUUACGGGUGGUGGUGCAAGUCCUCUUUUUUGAGCAGCUAUGAGUCACAUCAAGUGGUGGGAUGGCGGCGGAAGCCGCCAUGGGCCUGCUUCUGGGGUGAUGCUCGACCCAGAAGUUCAGGCAAUUAAAAUAGCUACAGAUGCAGACCCAGAAGUUCCUCAUUCAAGUGGCAUCCCUGCAAGGUAUUAGAAGACCUGUUCUCUUCGCUUACCUGCUUUUUCUCUAAAGACGGGAAACACAUAUGCGACUGUCAGCUUGUAUAACAAUGUCAUAAUAUCUACGGUGAUGCUGGACUUGAUGUUGAUGACUGGCCCUGUACUUUCAGUUUGUGGUGCAUGAACCCAGCUCUCGUGUUCAAGAACAUGUCCGAUGGUGUUCUUUCAGUAAUUUUAACAUCCGGGACUCUCUCACCGAUGAGCUCCUUCCAGUCGGAACUUGGGAUUCAGUUCGGAACCUCUCUUGUGGCUCCACAUGUAAACUUAAUUCGCAUUUUGAUCUUUUUAUAUGAAAGCUAUGGGCUGGUGUGAUCCACUUGUCUUAAUGUUAAGUAUGUUGCCAAUGUUGUUUCUUCUACUUUAUUGCAAGUCCUUGUUACGUUACGUGAAGGUAGUGUUGUGAGCCCACCUGACAAGUGUUGUGAGCCCAAUGUUAAGUAGGUGGCCCAUGUUGAGAAAAAAUGUGUUUUAAUUUGAAGAUGGUGACUGAUGGUCACUCGGUUCAACAAAAGGCCCACGUAUUGUUUUUUUUUUGUGCCACAAGUUAAUUGCAUGGUGUUUCAUUGCUAUUGGAUUGAAGGCCCAAGUCGGGUUUUUUUUUAAAAGCUUGAAGCUACGGUUUUGAAAGCCUGAGGUUGGGUUCGAGAUUCUUUGGUUAAAGAUCCAAUAUUAGGGUAAUUAGCAGCUGCACCCUUUUUUAAUAUUGUUUUAUGGGUAUUUUGUAUAAACCAUCCGUUUGAUGAGGUUUGGUUUGUUGUCAGUUUGUGAAACCACUUUAUUAGUAGUUUUCCUAAAUCC